UACGUAGGUGGCAAGCGUUGUCCGGAAUUACUGGGUGUAAAGCGCGUGUAGGCGGGAAGCCAAGUCUGCUGUGAAAUCGCCCGGCUCAACUGGGCGGGGUCGGUGGAAACUGGUCACCUGGAGGACGGUAGAGGCGUGUGGAAUUCCGGGUGUAGUGGUGAAAUGCGUAGAGAUCCGGAGGAACACCAGUGGCGAAGGCGACACGCUGGGCCAUACCUGACGCUAAAGCGCGACAGCAUGGGGAGCAAACGGG
rnacentral:rRNA from 1 species